rnacentral:lncRNA from 1 species
GCUGCCUUCAGCACCACUCUAUGCUUAGCAUCCUAGGACUGUGCAUUGUCUUCGUGAUCGCAACUCUGGAUGAGUGUGAAUUGUACGUUAGUGCUUUCCCUUAGAACUUUCCCUGCUGCCUGGUUUGACCACCAUGUGUUCUAUGAACAAGUUCUUGGUGUUAAUUUGGGCAUUGUAAGUGGCUUUUCUCUUUGAAUAUCUGUUUGAACAUAGUGCUUCCUUGACCUUGGUUUUUGUUUGGUUUUUGUUGUUGUUGUGUUUUUUUAUUCGGUUGGUUUUAUAAGAUUUUAUUUUGGGGGCUGGAGAGAUGGCUCAGUGGUUAAGAGCACUACUGUUCUUCCAAAAGAAAUUCAUAGCAUCUACAUGUCAGCGCACUCUCGCUCUCUCUCUCUCUCUCUCUCUCUCUCCACACACACACACACAAAACACCAAUGCACAUGAAAUUAAAAGAAAAUAAAUAUUUUAUGUGUCUGGGUGUUUUACUUGCAUGUAUGUCUACUCCAUAUGCAUGCAAUGCCCAUGAAGGCCAGAAGUUAGUUUUGGCUCUCUGGAACUAGAGUUACAAACAGUUGUUAGCUGCCAUGUUGAUUCUUGUUGAUUCUGUUAGAUUCUGUUAGUGAUAUAUUCUAUUUCCCUUUUUAAUUUAGUUUAUGUGAAUUUUUCAUCUCUAACAUAAUUUUUUCCCCCUAAAAUCUCAAUUUGCUUAACUGAAUUCCUCUCACUUUGCUUUUUUGGCUAUAUGGCUGAGGUUUUCAUCCAUUUUGCCAACUUUCUCCACUGUGCUUCUGGCUUUCCUUUAGUUGGUGCCUUGAUUUCUUCCCUAAUUGAUCUGUUUGUCUCUGUCCUUUUUGAGGACAUUGAUCAUUUUUUGCUGUUAAACCUUGAGCUGUGGGUGGUGGUAAGAUCCUGGAGAGAGAGAGAGCCUGUGACCUGGGCCCUUCACACUUCUUUGUUUCUGUGUUGCAGUUCGCGACUCUUUGGUUUGGAAACCUCUUCCUCUUUAUUUAGGGGGCUUAUUGGGGAGCAGCCUACUUGGGUGGCUCAGUUAAUUCCCAGUUCCACUUCUUGAGGAGCAAAUAAAGCGUUACAGCAGCAGCAGUUGCGGCAAACGGUGCAUGAGAGGCACAGGGUCUGAGUCAGUGGGCAUUCUACUCAUCAGCAGAAAAGAGAAAAAGGCAGUGUAGUGCAUGUGCCAUGCAACUGAAAAUCUAGAGUAAAUGUGGAAAUGGUAAGCGGGUCAGAUGAAAGGAGGAGGAAGGCACACAGGGAAGACAUGCUAAGGAGGUGAAAGGAAGAUCAAGGAGAUUAUAAAGGGGAAGAGACAGCAGGCAGUUCAAAGAUAAAAGGAUUCUCCAAUAAUGAGGAAAUAUGUGACCAGAAUAAGAUGCAAGUAAGAAGGGGAAUAAAGCUAACAAAAGCUUUUCAAAUAUAGAAGCUGGGCGUGACAGUGCUGCCUUUAAUUCCAGCAUUCAAAGAGGCAGGCGGGCAGAUCUCGGGGUUGAAGGCCAGGGAGUAGGUCUACAUAGUGACGCGUUCCACGAUAGCAAGGAUGUAUAAAGAACCCUAAUCUCAAAAAAACAAAACAAAACAAAACCCCACACAACCCAAAAACGAAUAAAUAAAAAUUGCAAAGAUGAACGCAUCGCGCGGUGUUAGAUGGUCAGCGUGUACUAUUUCAGAGGGCCUGAGCUAAGUUCUCAGGACCCAUACUGUGGCUCACAGCCACCUCUUAAGAUGUGAAAACUUGAGUGAAUGGUGGUGGCUCACGAAUUUAAUCCCAACACUCUGAGGCAGAGUCAGGUGGAUCCCCCAAGUUCAAAGCCAGCCUGAUUUACAGAACUAGUUCUAAGACAGUAAGGGAUACUCAGAGAAAACCUGUCUCAAACGGACAAAAAUAUACGACACCCCAGUUUUUUUUUAAAAUCACCUGUAUGCGUCACUCCAAGGACCCCUUCAGUAACUUACACAAACACAUACAAAUACACGUGAUUAAAAACAACAACAACAACACUAUGAAAGGGUUGUUUGACCUCCAGAGGGGUCACAACCCAAAGGUUGAGAACUGCUGCUGCUCUGGAGGUCAGGAUUCCAUUUAAAUAGCAUGUUUCUCCCUAGCUGUCUUUCUUAGUCUAUUGCUGUGGUGAAGAGAAACCAACCUCAAGGCAACUCAUUAAAGCGUUUAACUUGGAGCUUGUUUACAGUUUCAGAGGCUUAGUCCUUGUCAUGGCAAGAAGCAUGCCAGCAGGGGCAGAAGGGCAGUAAGUCCUGAUGCACAGGCAGAAAGAGUCAGACUUCCCCCCUAGUGACACACUCUCUCCAACAAGGCCACUCCCACUCCAAUAGGGCCACACUCCUAAUACUUCUUUCAGACAGUUCCACUUCCUGGUGACUAAGCAUAUUAGGCUCAGAUAUAUCAGCCUAUAGAGGCCAUUCUCAUUCAAACUACCAAACUAAUGCAUUCAUUAAAAUAAUCUGCUUUGCCAGCCAUGAUGGCAGAUACUUUUGAUCCCAGAUCUUGGGAUGCAGAGGAGAGUAGAUCUGUGAGCUUGAGGUCAGCUAACUGGGGCUACAG